ACCAUAUUCAAAUUCAGUCACAGGAAACACACCGGCUCUGCCAUGCCAGAGCUCAUCGCCGACGGCGGCGGAGCGCUAAUCAACACAAAACCACCACCAAUAUGAUCGUCUGUCAUCGCUCUACUCAAAUCUGCAUCUAAUUGGUUCAGAUUAUCCCCCUACAUCUCAAACCGAACACGAAUACACAAGAACCCUAACUUCAAAAAUCAAAAUUAAGUGCAACUCGUGAGGAAUUGAAACCUCUCACCUGAGGGUUUUUAUUCCUCAAUUCAAAUUUUACAUGAUGGAAACUUCAAUUUGAAGAAAAUGGAGCAAAAUAAGACCUAUCGAAGAAGCUCUUUCUCCGAAAAUGCGAGAAUUCAAUCUCAAGUAAUAUGCUCUACCUCCUCUUCCUCUUACUCCACUUCUUCUUGAUGUUAUUUUUCUGGUUGUUAUUUGUGUAAGAGUGUAGCAGUGAGGGAUAAUGAGUUUAGACGGAGAUUGAGAGAAUUGGAGAAUUUGAGAUUGUUUAUGUGUGAAUGAUUUUUGGGGGAAUGAAUCCAAGAGGAUGAAUGAUGAGUGAAUCCCGAAUUUUAUAGAAGUUGAUCAGGGGUAGAUUAGGAAUGAAAUUGGGAAAUCUGAGUUAGUUAGAUUUGGAUCAAAUGAUGAGCAGGAAAUCAAAUUCUGAAUUUGUGAAUUAAUUCUAAAUUCAAAAUGUUGUUGGAAAAGUUUGUUAGUUUUGGAUUAAAUUGCUGAGCUGGAAAUUGAAUUAUGUUAGUGUUAAUUGGCUUGAGUCCAGGUUAAGUGAUUUGGGACUGGUUUAUGUUUGGACUGCAUUUGAUGACUUGAACAGAAUUGCUAGCUUCGAACUGUGAACUGGAUUGGUUUAUCUUUGCUUGAAAAUCGAUGUGAUUCAUUGUCUUGCUGCUGAACUGCUUUGUGAAUGUGUAUGGUGAACUAUUUUGCUGCUAUGUGAAUUGAUGAUUUUCCCUACUUUGAACUACUUUGUGAACUGGUGUUGUUGAUAUGUAUGGCUUAAUGUUUGAUGUUACUCUGCAAGGCAUGCUGCUGUAGAUUUAUUGAUGUGCAGGUGCAAGAAUAAUCGGUUACUGUAACCGGUUAUCACCACGAAAGUUGGUUCUCUAGGCUGCAUAAUGAGGUUAUGUGAAGCAGUCAUAAUCGGUUACAGUCAAAGAGAAUCAGUCUAAAUAAGGAAAUAAAACAAAUCUUCCUCGUCCUCUUGCUAUGGCUUAUAGCAUCUACUACGGGUGGUCGUAGCAGCUCCUUGGUUUUUUGUACUAAGAGUGAAGCAAAGGGCAGCCCUUGGGUCUUCAGCUGUUAUGGGUGGUUGUAACAACUCUCUAGUUUUACUAUGGGGAAAUUCGUCUUUUUUCACGUUGCCUAGUUUUAUUUGUCUUUGAUCCCUAAUUGUCUUGUAUGCACAUUAGGCCCUGAAAAUAGCAAGAACAUACAAACCAAAGCAUAAAACAUGGUAAUUGGAAGUAAGCCAAACAAAAUGCGACAAAAUACUGAGAGAAAGGGACUAGAAAUAACGAUGUGAAAACCAUUUAUCAAGGUUGAAGAUGAAAGAAAUUUGUUUGCAAGAGUUUUUCAUCUUUAAAAAAUGAUAGGGUGUUUCUUUCACAAAAUCAUAAUGUAGAUUAUGACUUCAUCAAAGUUACUAUUGGAAAAUGAGAUGAAAAAAUGAAUUUAUAUGUGCUUGAGAUUAAACACAAAAAUGGAUGGAUAAAGUUAGUUAGAUUCGAGUCAAGAGCAUUUCAUGAUUUGAGUCAAAUGAGAAAGUAGUGUGAAAUAAGAUCUCAUAAUGAAAAGUGACUCAUUUUUCUAUGAUUCGAAUCAAAUUAAAUCUAUGAUUCGAGUCACAUGGAUUCAUGAUUCAAGUCAUGUGUUGGGCCUAAUUUGAAUCACGCAAGGUAGUGGUUAAUAUUGAUGUCUGGGAUUCGAGUCAGGUACAACAUGUGAUUCGAGUCACAAAGUUGCAUGAUUCAAACCAUAUGUAAAUUUUGAUUCGAUUCACAUACAUAAAAUUUUCCCGUUCUCCUC
rnacentral:lncRNA from 1 species